rnacentral:lncRNA from 1 species
UUUAUAUGAAAACAAAAUACCAAUAACGGAAACUUGGCUUCCGACUUUAGAUCAAUGGUACUGUUUUAGAAACAAUGUAAACAGACCACACACUCCCUGCCUAAGCCACAAAAGUUAUGCGCACAGAAAGACAAAAGAAACAAAAAAAAAAAAAAAAUCUCUUUCGGCGUUAUCAUGUCAUCUUUAAAUUUUAACUACACUAUUUAUAUAUUUUGUAUCUAAUUGGAUAUUUGAUUUUCAUGAGAUUUUGGAGAUCAUAAUAUUUGUACGAGGAGAAAG